AAGCUUAACGCGCCUGACAGGCCACACGCUCAAAAUAUCUCCGUAUCUUCUGCGGAAAGCAGUGCCAGUAGGACAACGAGACGCUAUAAUGAAUUCUCUGUACGUCGGAAAAAGCAAUUCUGGAUGUAACGCGCGGUAAUCCAUCCGACACGGCCCAGAGGCGUUUCAGAAGUUGUCAACCCACCCAGCCUCUUUUUAGGUGUAAGAAAAUCUAAUUGUUCUGUAGUAAUUAAUGUUUUACACCCGAGACUCGUUCUAUUUACAAUCGAAUAUUAAAAAUAAGUCCCAUGCCUCUUUGUUUGGUGUGUUGGCAACACUGAUUUGCUUGGCGCCAAACUAAAAUGUCAAUCUUGGAAUCUUAAAUCUCCACCAUGGCUCUCUUCAGCUCCUCGAGGUAAGUUCUUCAUGUAAUUAACAUUCUGAACUUUGAAAAAUGUGGUUUCAAUUAACAGGCAGUAUACGAGACAAAAGCAAAGGGAAGGACAAUCCUGAAAACUGACCGGCCAGGAAGGAAAUUCCUUUUGACAGAAAAAAGGAAAUUACCGCGUACCUUUUUUUCCACCGGCUCUUUGUCUCAAUUAGACCUCGGCUAGGAAGUUUAGUUCUAGGUAGACGAUAAUAGCUCCUCAGGAGGACUCUUUCCGUCGUCAGUGCACUCCUUCUCAGAAGAGGGUGUCAGACCAGAUAAUUUAAAAAAAACGUAUUCAAUAGUUUUUAUCCCCUCCUGUUCCUAGGUUCCGGGUUGGUGUGUGCAACAUUGCAUUUUUUGGCGCCAAUCUAAAAAUCUCCAUCAUGGAAUCUUCAUUGCCAAAUGGCAAAUGGUUUUUAAUGGACUAACUAUUCUAUAGAAAUCAUCAGAACUCAUUUUAUUUUUUUAUGUGGCUGGAUUUUGUUAAAGGUUAGAUGGGAAAUCCCGUCAGUUUAGGGUUCAGUGUUGUUCGAAGAGUGAUUCCGCCCGUGUUGUUGGCAACACCGGAUUUUUAUGGCGCCAAGCGAAAAUCUCCUUCUUGGAAUGUUCAAUCUCCAACUGGCUCUUCACUCCAUGGCGGGAAAUCCCGUGAAUUAAGUGGCAGUGUGGCCACUAAAGUUGUUCUGCCAAUGUGUUGGUAACGUUGAAUUGUUUGGCGCCAAUCUGACUCUCCAUCUUGGAAUCUUCAAUCUCCACCAUGGCUCUUCACGUCUAGAGGGACGGAUGCAGUGUGUUGUUCCACUGUCUCUGCCAGUGUGUUGGCUAUAUUUCAUUUUUUGGGGCCAAUCUGAACUCCCAAUCUUGGAAUAUUCACUCUUCAACAUGUCGCUUCAGCCCUAAAUGCUGAGUUUGUAUGCAAAUGAUCCCUUAUGUUUAAAAUAAAUUGAAAAUGUUUAUUACGUUAAAACCGCAUAAAGAACCUUGAAGUGCUAGAAGUUUUAGUUUUAUAAUUUAAUAGCCAUUUCAGGCAGAGUCUAAUUUGAUCAUUUGACAGUCUAGUAGGAAAACCUCCGGAUUGGGUUUUUUGAUUGAUCGGACCAAGACCAAUUUUCAUGGGGGAAAAUAUCAAUCAUGAAAUAGGUAUGUAUCAAUUUAAAUGAUCAAAGAAUCAGAACGUGAGCCGAGAUUCGGGCCCACUAGACCGUGCUGGAAAAUAUACGAACAAGUGUGGAAAAUCAAAUCUGACAGUUGCC
rnacentral:lncRNA from 1 species